rnacentral:rRNA from 1 species
CCUACGGGGGGCUGCAGUGAGGAAUAUUGGUCAAUGGGCGCGAGCCUGAACCAGCCAAGUCGCGUGAAGGAUGACUGCCCUACGGGUUGUAAACUUCUUUUAUAAAGGAAUAAAGUCAGGCACGUGUGCCUUUUUGUAUGUACUUUAUGAAUAAGGAUCGGCUAACUUCGUGCCAGCAGCCGCGGUAAUACGGAGGAUGCGAGCGUUAUCCGGAUUUAUUGGGUUUAAAGGGAGCGUAGGUGGGUUGGUAAGUCAGUUGUGAAAGUUUGCGGCUCAACCGUAAAAUUGCAAUUGAUACUGGCAGUCUUGAGUACAGUAGAGGUAGGCGGAAUUCGUGGUGUAGCGGUGAAAUGCUUAGAUAGCACGAAGAACUCCGAUUGCGAAGGCAGCUUACUAGACUGCAACUGACAUUGAUGCUCGAAAGUGUGUGUAUCAAACAGGAUUAGAUACCCGUGUAGUC